GCCAGCAGCCAUAUCACCCUGCAACCCACAGCUGGCAGCCCACUGAAGCUAAGCGGGUGUGAGCUUGGUCAGUACCUGGAUGGGAGACCUCCUGGGGGAAAAACUAAGGUUGCUGUGU
rnacentral:rRNA from 1 species